AAAAAAAAAUUUUUUUUUUUUUUAACGUGGUAGAAAUCUUCAUAGACACACUUCCCUUACUCCAGCGGGGCGGCAGAAGGUAGUGAGUGCCGGAUUCUUACCGGCUAAAACGUCCACGAGCGGGGAAAACCAAUGCACAAGUGCGAUUAUUGUCGGCCUGCUCGCUGCUUAUCAAGCACACCUUUAACCAACACUCCCAGAAAGUGCAUCCACAACACGCGCAAGGGGAUGAUGUGAACGAUGAGGUGUAUGAGAGGGUGGUGAGAUGAUAAUAUGUCGUCCCUCUGCUGAUGUUGCUGCUGCAGGAGCUGUUUGCUGCUGCCGCUCUCUUGUCGGUUGUGUAUUACUUUUGAGAGGAUUUUUGGUCUUUCCAUCCCUUGUAAAUCUCCAACAGGCCGAGGAUUCGAACUCGUGCGCAUCGUCUUCAGCGCGGGGCCUUAACGAGCGUCGCUGGCCUCCCCGCCGAGCUUCUAGCUAAUUGGAAAGUAUUUAACUCUUAAUGUGGCAUUGUAUAUCAUAGUAAGUAUUCUAAUUGCUUUAGAAGAAAGUUCCUUAAUGAUUUUACUGUUUAUUUAAUUAAAAUCGAGAAUUUUCUCGCUCAAUUUUAAUUUUAGCAACAGUAGCUCAAGUAGCUAUAAGGACUGUUUGAAGCGAUAUUUGAUUCAUUAAAUUGAAACAUAUUAUAGAAUCAUGUUUUUUUUCUAAGAGAUUUAAUAUCUCAUAAUAAAUUAAUAAAAUAAUAAUAGUAAUAUAUAUACUAUAUUUAAUAAUGUAGUAUAAUAUCAUAUGGCAUAUAAUAUAUAUAACAUAUAUUUAGUUAUUGUGUGUAAGAUGUCCGUGAUAAUAGUAGUUGCCGGCUGUAGAUGUCGCUGCUGGGCUCUGCUGAUUUUCCUCCUAAUUUAGUUGCGUAGAAGAAAGAUCGGACUCUGGUCGCCAUGAUUCGAACCCGGGUUCCAAACGUUCGUAACCUAAGACGCUAACAACUGCGCUGCCGUCGUUUUGCUUUUGUGUAACGUUCAUCGACCAGUAGAUAAUAUUACAUGUUUACAAUUUGUAACUUAAAUUUAAGUGGCUGUAGAGCGGUGCUUAUAUACGAUAUUGUUCUUUUUUCUAUCUCCGUCCUGAAAACCUGGUCGCAAAAACAGGACAGUUCUGCGCUGCCGUCGUCCUACACCAUAAUUCAUUAGAAAGACCUCAGGGCUUCCUAUUCGAGGAAACGAUCAGUUCAUCUCCUAAUGGAACGUAUCAAAUAUAGGAGUGCCGCCCAAUAGAGGGACAGGACGUGAUAUUUAAUCCAUUUGCGCCUAUAAACGUAAAGCAGCAUUCAUCUCUGUAACUAUGCUUGUGCACACGUUAAACGUUGCAUCCAUUUGUUGAGUUGCUGAGAGAGUAACAGAUUUAAAAAAGUUUCAAUUUUUAGACAUUUUUAAAAAGUAACCAAAAAUGUCUUCUUUCUUAAGCAUCAUAGUUAUCCAAUAAAAUUACACUAUUUAACAGAAACAAGGUCAUAACUUAAGAUAGCAAAUACUUUGGUUCCAUUCUUUAAGCGUUAUUUUGAAAACUAUGAAUUUGCAUGACUAUCCGCUCUCUGGUUAUACAUUUCCUAGCAACAUUCUUUCAAAAAAUCUAUGUCGUGUAUUUGAAGAUGAAAAGAUUCUAUGAAUCAAGGAGAAGCCAAGUUCUUAUUUCGUAUUUUUAUAAAUUAUUUCUUUAAGGGAAAGAAAGUGAAAAAUGUGUUAAAGGAUAGAAGGGGAAUUUUGAAAGUAGAUUUAAAAAGAUAAAUAGACCAAAGAAUAUAAAAACUGUCUAUAUAAAACUGUCUGUGUAGUUUGCUUAGGGAUCAUUGAUGAAUAUUGGAUUCAGUUGUCACAAUAGAAUUAUUGAUGAUUAUAUUUAUGAUCGUUGUAAAUUAUUUUGAAGCUGCCAUUCUAUGUUCCUUUAAAAUCAAUAACCAACGUUUAAUGUUAAUUUAAUCUAAAUAUUAUGACAAUUUUAUUUAUCUUAUUUCUUUACUUUGAUUUCUACUGUAGUUGACCUGUAAUUAAUGUAAAAUAAACAAAAUCAAGACGUUAUUUCUUUCGUGUAUCUAAGGAAAACCAUAAGUGUUCACUAAUAGGGAAACUCCCCCUAGACUGAUUUCAUUGCUGCCAACAGUGUCCAAAAAAAACUAUAAAAAGUUGUGAAGUUACUGAAAAAAUUAUUUUAAAAUGGGGUGUGAAAGAUAAUCACUGAAAGAAGCUUAAUUCCAUCGCAUCAAUUUGCUUCGGGAAUAAAUAUGCCACGAAAAAGUACAUAAGGUAACAAAACAAGAUCAUCAAUGCACUGGAGCUAAAACAGUACUGCGCUAUCCUAUUUUUGGACGUUGAAAAGGUAUUUGACAAAGUAUGAUGUGGGGACUUCUUGACAGAAUUAAACAAAACUUCCCUAUCGAGAUGUUUCUGUUUGUUAAAUUAUACUUUAAAAAUAGAAGAUUCUUUGCUGAAUAUCAAACACCCCUUCAGAUUUACAUACUGUCAGUGCUGGCGAUACUCAAGGUUAUGUUUUCAUAACUACAUUGUAUACUCUGUAUGUAAACAGUCGAUAUACUGACCAGCUCUAAAAAUACUUUAUUUUAACGUUCGCUGAUAAUACUGUAAUUCUAGCCACCGUGCUAAGGUUGUAUCAACAUUAUUGCAGCAACACAUACGAUUGCUGGGACACUGGUUAAAUCAGUGGAAAAAGGGUAUACUGGCAAAUGUAAUCACAUCGCUUUCACGUUAAGGAAGGGCAGCAUAUCUCCCACUUACAAAGAAUUUUAGGCAUGAAAAUAACAUGAUAUUCAGCAUUUUAUAAGAAAAUCAAACCCAUGCAUAUACCUAGUGUAUUUCUUUAUCGUUGUUCGUUACUAUUAGGUUGGCAGCUAAGUGAUUGCGGAUUUUGCCAUUAGGUGGCAUUAACAAAAUCCGCAAUCAGUUGCCAACCCAAUAUAUGUUACACUUUACGAAAAGGAAUAUUCAUAUUUAUAAAUCAUAUAUAAAUCAUAUUUAUGAUUAUUGAAAUAUGUAUAAUUUUAUGUGCCAGACUAGAUUGAUAGUAGUUAUACAUGUAUGUGAAUAUGAGUGUGUGGAACUAUGUGUGUGCGCGGUGCCUCGAAAACAAAAGAAUGUAAACUAUUCAAUUAAGUCUGGUACUGAAGAAGGUGACACGCGUGCAAGUGUGUAUCGAUGAAUAUCUUUGAAAUCCUUUAUGAAAUAAAUAUAUAACUAUUCUAAUAUUAA